CACGUAGGGGGCGAGCGUUGUUCGGAAUUACUGGGCGUAAAGGGCAUGUAGGCGGCCUUAUAAGCCUGGCGUGAAAGUCCACGGCUCAACCGUGGGAUUGCGUUGGGAACUGUAGGGCUCGAGUCACGGAGAGGGAGCUAGAAUUCCUGGUGUAGGGGUGAAAUCUGUAGAGAUCAGGAAGAAUACCAGUGGCGAAGGCGAGCUCCUGGCCGAUGACUGACGCUGAGGUGCGAAAGUGUGGGGAUCAAACAGG
rnacentral:rRNA from 1 species